UCAGGCGGUGAUGACGCACUUGCCCUCACUGAGAACAUUGUUCAAUAAUGAGAACCCCCAACGUACUCAAAAUAUCUGAGCCUGA